rnacentral:sRNA from 1 species
UGACCGACUCCAUUGAUGGGGCGGUGACCACCCAUCCAGCCCCAAUGCCCAUCAGUCCACAUCACAACCAUGCCCCCCCUUUGGCUGCUUUCAAAUCGCCGGUGGACACGUUGGAGCCAUCAAACUGGGGGACACAUGCCAGCAUCAGCUCUGGUAAUUUCGCCAUUUUGGCCUGGUUGUUGUGGUGGUAAUUUUCCCGCGACUGACGACUUUACAGCUACGCACUUAAAAGUGAAAAAAAUGAGUUGGACCGGUUUUUGCGCGGGGAAAGCUGCGCCAUCAACAAGUUUUCCCGUUUCCCGCCUGCAAAGUGCAGUUUCGCCAAGGAAACUCCGGCUCCGCGUGGAAGGAAACGUUACAAGGAUGUGACAGGAGCCUCCCACUAUCAACUACAUGCAAGCAAUAGUGUAUGUACAGAGAGAGAAAAUGCAAGCGAAUUUAUGGCAUUCUAAGCUAAUUUCUAUUGCCUGCGGAGUAACAACAUUAUUAUUAGAAUUAUACAAAUAUGUACACAUACACAACUUUGUAUCCGUCUCACUGUCGACUUGUCCAUCUGCCUGCUUGUUACAUCGUGAAAUGUGACAAUCUGCAGAGAAGUUGCAACGCAGGUGGAAGGAAGACAUCGAGCUGGAGGACUCCGGACUCAGGCACUCAGCUGUGCACGUUUAUGGACAACAUAAUGGCGGAAUCGAGUUGGGCGCAAUGUAACACCCACACGAGGAGGCGAAAGGAUAAAGACGUACAUAUGUACAUACAGGCAGCUAAGGCAGAGGCAAACAAACGCAAACUCCCGGAGAUAAAUCGCAAAACUGGGAGCUACCCAAGCCCGGCCAUCCAAUCUCACCCAGAAUUGCACCAUGGGAGGUAAAGUUCCUAUGUGUGUUAGUAUCUACUUUACACAACCAUUUGUACAUAUAUGUACAUAGUUAUUCGAAACCAACCAACAGAUUUAGUUAACCUUAAAGGUUUAAAUACCAUUUACAAAUUGAAGAGGAAAUACACCUAAG